rnacentral:rRNA from 1 species
GAUGAACGCUGGCGGCGUGCCUAAUACAUGCAAGUCGAGCGAACGGACGAGAAGCUUGCUUCUCUGAUGUUAGCGGCGGACGGGUGAGUAACACGUGGAUAACCUACCUAUAAGACUGGGAUAACUUCGGGAAACCGGAGCUAAUACCGGAUGAUAUUUUGAACCGCAUGGUUCAAAAGUGAAAGACGGUUUUGCUGUCACUUAUAGAUGGAUCCGCGCUGCAUUAGCUAGUUGGUAAGGUAACGGCUUACCAAGGCAACGAUGCGUAGCCGACCUGAGAGGGUGAUCGGCCACACUGGAACUGAGACACGGUCCAGACUCCUACGGGAGGCAGCAGUAGGGAAUCUUCCGCAAUGGGCGAAAGCCUGACGGAGCAACGCCGCGUGAGUGAUGAAGGUCUUCGGAUCGUAAAACUCUGUUAUUAGGGAAGAACAUAUGUGUAAGUAACUAUGCACGUCUUGACGGUACCUAAUCAGAAAGCCACGGCUAACUACGUG